CCUACGGGAGGCUGCAGUGGGGAAUAUUGGUCAAUGGGCGCAAGCCUGACCCAGCCACGCCGCGUGAAUGAAGAAGGCUUUCGGGUUGUAAACUUCUUUUCUCAGGGACGAAGAAAGUGACGGUACCUGAUGAAUAAGCCACGGCUAACUACGUGCCAGCAGCCGCGGUAAUACGUAGGUGGCAAGCGUUAUCCGGAUUGAUUGGGUGUAAAGGGCGUGUAGGCGGGAGAGCAAGUCAGAUGUGAAAACUCAGGGCUCAACCCUGAGCCUGCAUUUGAAACUGUGAUUCUUGAGUGCUGGAGAGGCAAUCGGAAUUCCGGGUGUAGCGGUGAAAUGCGGAGAUAUACGGAGGAACACCAGUGGCGAAGGCGGAUUGCUGGACAGUAACUGACGCUGAGGCGCGAAAGCGUGGGGAGCAAACAGGAUUAGAUACCCUAGUAGUC
rnacentral:rRNA from 1 species